AUGAAGAGUCAGUAAAAGAAGUUAUUAAAUAGUUUCAAAAGUUCUUUCAAAUGAGAAAAUAAAAAAAUAUAUUGCCACUUCCCUUUAAAAGUUUUGUUGUUAAUUCCUGUUUUCUAUCGUAAAGUGAUGGGGUGUUCGUGUUCCUCAAUGCUUCUUUGCAGUGUUGUUCUGGGAAUAUUAUUCGAAAAGCCCGUUUCUGAAGUCGUUCAAGAUCAUCAGACAGAUAUUUGGGUAAUGAGUCGUGAAAUGCUUGGCACGCAUAUUCGAUGACUGGUCGAAUACAGGUGGAGUAGUAGAAAAGGAUUAGGUCGUUAGCUGGUAAUUUCGCUCGUUUUAAUUGUCUUAAAAAAUAUGGACGUGGUGCGACCUUUUUACAAAUGUGUGAAAUAUGACUAUUCCACUUCAGGUUAUUUGAGAUGCUUAGACCCAGCAAUUUUACCGAUGUUACACGUUCGACAAUUUCCCCAUUAACAGUAAUUGGCUGGAACUCACGUGUGGAUGGUGCAAAACUCUAUGCAUUUCAGGGCCGUAGGAAGCUCUUUUCGAUUGGGGGGGCUGAAAGCGAGGGCCGAAGGCCCGAGGAAAUUUUUAAAUUUAGAGUCUCUAAAAUGCCAUUUCCUGGACUUUGGGGGAAGAUUUAACAGAAUUCUGAUAGUCAGAAAACAGCG